GCUGACAAAAAGAAGUUUAAUCGCCGGCAAACGGAAAACCGCGAUUUCCCGAAAAUCCCUGACUCGGCCCGUUUAGUCAGAAGUAUAGAAAGAAAGUACCCAGGGAGUAAACUCAUUUCCCGAACGAUUUUUUAAAUUAUUUUUUCAUCACUAAAACGCAUGAGACUUGUAGUUUUCAAAAAUUUUUUCAUUUUCGAUGAGACGCUGAAUAAAAGAAGUUUAAUCGCCGGCAAACGAAAACACGCGAUUUCCCGUAAACCCCGAAGUCGGCCCGUAUAGUCAAAAGUAUACAAAGAAGGUACCCAGGGAGUAAACUCAUUUCCCGAACGAUUUUUUAAAUUAUUUUUUCAGCACUAAAACGCAUGAGACUUGUAGUUUUAAAAAAUGUUUUCAUUUUUGAUGAGACACUGAAUAUAAGAAGUUUAAUCGCCGGCAAACGAAAACCCGCGAUUUUCCGUAAACCCCGGAGUCGGCCCGUAUAGUCAAAAGUAUACAAAGAAAGUACCCAGGGAGUAAACUCAUUUCCCGAACUAUUUUUUAAAUUAUUUUUUCAUCACUAAAACGCAUGAGACUUGUAGUUUUCAAAAAAUUUUUCAUUUUCGAUGAGACGCUGAAUAAAAGAAGUUUUAUCGCCGGCAAACGAAAACACGCGAUUUCCCGUAAACCCCGGAUUCGGCCCGUAUUGUCAAAAGUAUACAAAGAAGGUACCCAGGGAGUAAACUCAUUUCCCGAA